rnacentral:rRNA from 1 species
AGAGUUUGAUCCUGGCUCAGGACGAACGCUGGCGGCGUGCCUAAUACAUGCAAGUCGAACGAAGCUUUCUUUCACCGAAUGCUUGCAUUCACCGAAAGAAGCUUAGUGGCGAACGGGUGAGUAACACGUAGGCAACCUGCCCAAAAGAGGGGGAUAACACUUGGAAACAGGUGCUAAUACCGCAUAACCAUGAACACCGCAUGAUGUUCGUGUAAAAGACGGCUUUUGCUGUCACUUUUGGAUGGGCCUGCGGCGCAUUAACUUGUUGGUGGGGUAACGGCCUACCAAGGUGAUGAUACGUAGCCGAACUGAGAGGUUGAUCGGCCACAUUGGGACUGAGACACGGCCCAAACUCCUACGGGAGGCAGCAGUAGGGAAUCUUCCACAAUGGACGAAAGUCUGAUGGAGCAACGCCGCGUGAAUGAAGAAGGCCUUCGGGUCGUAAAAUUCUGUUGUCAGAGAAGAAUGUGCGUGAGAGUAACUGUUCACGUAUUGACGGUAUCUGACCAGAAAGCCACGGCUAACUACGUGCCAGCAGCCGCGGUAAUACGUAGGUGGCAAGCGUUGUCCGGAUUUAUUGGGCGUAAAGGGAACGCAGGCGGUCUUUUAAGUCUGAUGUGAAAGCCUUCGGCUUAACCGAAGUAGUGCAUUGGAAACUGGAAGACUUGAGUGCAGAAGAGGAGAGUGGAACUCCAUGUGUAGCGGUGAAAUGCGUAGAUAUAUGGAAGAACACCAGUGGCGAAAGCGGCUCUCUGGUCUGUAACUGACGCUGAGGUUCGAAAGCGUGGGUAGCAAACAGGAUUAGAUACCCUGGUAGUCCACGCCGUAAACGAUGAGUGCUAAGUGUUGGAGGGUUUCCGCCCUUCAGUGCUGCAGCUAACGCAUUAAGCACUCCGCCUGGGGAGUACGGUCGCAAGACUGAAACUCAAAGGAAUUGACGGGGGCCCGCACAAGCGGUGGAGCAUGUGGUUUAAUUCGAAGCAACGCGAAGAACCUUACCAGGUCUUGACAUCUUCUGACAAUUCCAGAGAUGGAACGUUCCCUUCGGGGACAGAAUGACAGGUGGUGCAUGGUUGUCGUCAGCUCGUGUCGUGAGAUGUUGGGUUAAGUCCCGCAACGAGCGCAACCCUUAUUGUCAGUUGCCAUCAUUAAGUUGGGCACUCUGGCGAGACUGCCGGUGACAAACCGGAGGAAGGUGGGGAUGACGUCAAAUCAUCAUGCCCCUUAUGACCUGGGCUACACACGUGCUACAAUGGACGGUACAACGAGUCGCUAACUCGCGAGGGCAAGCUAAUCUCUUAAAGCCGUUCUCAGUUCGGAUUGCAGGCUGCAACUCGCCUGCAUGAAGUCGGAAUCGCUAGUAAUCGCGAAUCAGCAUGUCGCGGUGAAUACGUUCCCGGGUCUUGUACACACCGCCCGUCACACCAUGAGAGUUUGUAACACCCAAAGUCGGUGGGGUAACCUUUUGGAGCCAGCCGCCUAAGGUGGGACAGAUGAUUGGGGUGAAGUCGUAACAAGGUA